GUUUGAUCCUGGCUCAGGAUGAACGCUGGCGGCGUGCCUAAUACAUGCAAGUCGAACGAGGUGCUUUUGUAGCAAUACGAAAGUAUCCUAGUGGCGAACGGGUGAGUAACGCGUUGGUGACCUGCCCCAAAGUGUGGGAUAACAGUCCGAAAGGAUUGCUAAUACCUCAUGUGGUCAUCGGGUUUAGAAACCGAUGACUAAAGCAGCAAUGCGCUUUGGGAGGGGCCUGCGUCCCAUCAGCUAGUUGGUGAGGUAAUGGCUCACCAAGGCGACGACGGGUAGGGGACCUGAGAGGGUGGCCCCCCACAAUGGAACUGAAACACGGUCCAUACACCUACGGGUGGCAGCAGUAGGGAAUAUUGCUCAAUGGGCGAAAGCCUGAAGCAGCAACGCCGCGUGCGCGAUGAAGGUCUUCGGAUCGUAAAGCGCUUUUAUGAGGGAUGAGAAAGGACAGUACCUCAGGAAUAAGUCUCGGCUAACUACGUGCCAGCAGCCGCGGUAAAACGUAGGAGGCAAGCGUUAUCCGGAUUCACUGGGCGUAAAGCGCGUGCAGGCGGUUCGGUAAGUUGGGCGUGAAAUCUCCUGGCUUAACUGGGAGAGGUCGUCCAAUACUACCGGACUUGAGAGUGAUAGAGGAAGAUGGAAUUCCCGGUGUAGUGGUGAAAUGCGUAGAUAUCGGGAGGAACACCAGUGGCGAAAGCGAUCUUCUGGAUCAUUUCUGACGCUCAGACGCGAAAGCUAGGGUAGUAAACGGGGAUUAGAGACCCCGGUAAUCCUAGC
rnacentral:rRNA from 1 species